rnacentral:lncRNA from 12 species
AUGCUAGACGGGGAAAUGUUCACCAUAAAUAUGUUUACAAUUUUCUUACAACGUGCUAUACUUCAAAGGAGAUGAGGCUUUCAGAGCAUCUGGGGUCUUCCCUUUGAGAGAGAGAACAGGCUUGGUUUAUGGAGCACUAUGGAUUAUACCCCUUCCACUUAAAUGGUCACUUUCCUUUCACUCAGAUUCAUCCCUCGUGAAGAUGGAGAAGACAAGUUCACGUCCUGGUUCUCAAGGCUUGUGAGUGGGCAUAGAUUUGCAAGAAAAAGCAAGUUACUCGUGAUGACUUUGUCUCUCCCUUUCUGA